rnacentral:rRNA from 1 species
AUGAUACGUCUGAAGAGCCUCCUCAUAAGCCAAAACCCUCUCAUCAUAAGCACGAUCAGCAGCCUCAUCAGCAAGCUUAGCCGCAUCCUUGGCGGCCUGAUUAGUGUCCGUAGGAAGAACCGGUGGAGUCGGCGGAGUAGGGGCCACCGGAGGAACCGGACGUGGCGGACAGCAGACCUCGCCAGAAAGAACACCCCAGAGACGGAUGCCACGCAUGUGAAUGCGCAUGAAGCCAGCGAACUCGGUGUAGUUAGUACCAUCGAAGAUCACCGGACAGCGAGGGACAGCAACAUAGCCCGAUGCAGCAGACUUUUUUUUAACAGAAGGCAGACGUUCAGGAGUCCCGAUCUGCAGCAGCGGCGGGCGGCUCGAUCAGAAGUGGACGAGCCUCGGAAGCAGAAGCUCGAUCUGGCCUCGAGCGGAAGAUAG